UGAUUCGAAGCUGCCAGACAACCAGGCAGGUCAUGAGAAAGGAAUGACGGUGACCUUGGCCGCGCAGGCCGGGGCCAACCUCGU
rnacentral:ncRNA from 1 species